rnacentral:rRNA from 1 species
CAGCAGCCACGGGAAUACGGAGGGGGCUAGCGUUGUUCGGAAUUACUGGGCGUAAAGCGCACGUAGGCGGCUUUGUAAGUUAGAGGUGAAAGCCAGGGCUCAACCCUGGAAUUGCCUUUAAGACUGCCGAGCUAGUAGGUGAGAGAGGUAAGUGGAAUUCCGAGUGUAGAGGUGAAAUUCGUAGAUAUUCGGAAGAACACCAGUGGCGAAGGCGGCUUACUGGCUCAUUCUAGACGCUGAGGUGCGAAAGCGUGGGGAGCAAACAGGAUUAGAUACCCGUGUAGUCCCUGUCUCUUAUACA